ACCCACGACAAAUCUUACCACUCCUUGUAUAAUAAAUAUUUUCCUUAAGGGAUUGUUUUGACUUUGAGGAACUUUAAUUAAAUAAUAACAUAUAUACUUAUGAUAAGUCUUUAAACUUACUUAUAUAUAUUUGUAAUACGUCAUCUAAACUUAUAUUAAUAAUAAUUCAAUAGUUAUUAUUGAAUCGAUGACAUAAUUGUUGUUAAUGUGAUGGAUAGUAAUAAUAAUUAAAUAUUGUUAUGGGUGUGAGUAACAUUAGUAAUAAUAACUAAUUAUUACCAUUAUAAACCACAGUAAUAAUAAUUGAUUAAAUAAUUAAAUGGAAUGAAUGAUUAAGCAAUUAGUAAUUCAUUAAUAUUUAUUACAGGUGUUGCAUGGCUGUCUUUAGUUCGUGUUGUGAAAUGUUAGGUUAAUUCCGGAAAACGAACGCAAUCCUUAUCUUUAUUUAAAACUAUAUAAAGAGGUAUCUUUCCAUAAGAAGGAAUAAUUAGGGUGAAGACAAGUCCUCAUGACCCUUAUGGAGUGGGCUACAGACGUGCCACAAAUAUUUCUACAAAGGGAAGCAAAGAUGAAAGUCUGAGCUAAUCCUCAAAAGAA
rnacentral:rRNA from 1 species